rnacentral:rRNA from 1 species
GCUGGCGGCGUGCUUAACACAUGCAAGUCGAGCGGUAAGGCCCUUCGGGGUACACGAGCGGCGAACGGGUGAGUAACACGUGGGUGAUCUGCCUCGCACUUCGGGAUAAGCCUGGGAAACUGGGUCUAAUACCGGAUAUGACCUUUCAGUGCAUGCUGUUGGGUGGAAAGAUUUAUCGGUGCGAGAUGGGCCCGCGGCCUAUCAGCUUGUUGGCGGGGUAACGGCCCACCAAGGCGACGACGGGUAGCCGACCUGAGAGGGUGACCGGCCACACUGGGACUGAGACACGGCCCAGACUCCUACGGGAGGCAGCAGUGGGGAAUAUUGCACAAUGGGCGAAAGCCUGAUGCAGCGACGCCGCGUGAGGGAUGACGGCCUUCGGGUUGUAAACCUCUUUCGACAGGGACGAAGCGCAAGUGACGGUACCUGUAGAAGAAGCACCGGCCAACUACGUGCCAGCAGC